GUCGGGAGUCUUGCACAAUGGGGGAAACCCUGAUGCAGCGACGUCGCGUGUGGGAUGAAGUAUUUCGGUAUGUAAACCACUUUUGCGGGGGGCGAAAAAAAUGACGGUACCCCGCGAAUAAGCCCCGGCUAACUACGUGCCAGCAGCCGCGGUAAUACGUAGGGGGCGAGCGUUGCUCGGAUUGACUGGGCGUAAAGCGCGCGUAGGCGGUCCAUUAAGUGUGCGGUGAAAUUCGGAGGCUCAACCUCCGUCCCGCCGCGCAAACUGAUGGUCUUGAGAUUGGGAGGGGGAUGCGGAAUUCCUGGUGUAGCGGUGAAAUGCAUUGAUAUCAGGAGGAACACCGGCGGCGAAAGCGGCAUCCUGGCUUAUAUCUGACGCUGAGGCGCGAAAGCGUGGGUAGCAAACGGGAUUAGAAACCCUAGUAGUCC
rnacentral:rRNA from 1 species